CUUUCACAAAUGAAUCCAGGCUAGACUGCGAUAACAUUACGCAGGACCUUACAAUUCUAGGACAUCUAAGAAGGGUUGAUGCUGUUCAAUGGCCACACAAAAAGCAAGGAACUUGAAGGAUUCAAAUCCAGGAGGAGCCACUCCAACACUGCUGUAGUUACUCCACGUGCAGAUAUUGGGCUAAAGAAGCAGGCCCCAUCAAUAGUCAGUAAACAACUACUGACUGCGUCUUCUUCUGUUUGUAUCUCUGUGAGAGAAUGA
rnacentral:lncRNA from 1 species